GUUUUUCGAAUUUGCUGAAGACGCAGCACUGACUGCGGUUCACAAUCAUUUGCAGUUUAAAGUUAAAUAGCGGGCCAGCUGCACAAGCAGCCAGACAGGCGUUAAAGCAGGCGGGAAGAGAGUCGUUGUGAAAGACCCAGAGUACGCUGGGACAGUAACAUUAGCAGGCAGGUGGUUAUGAAGCAGACGAGGAGGGGGAAGAGUCGAGGCCACAGGAGUAAUGUUACGCUGGUCUACGUGGAGUUUAAUAGGAUUGCUGGUAAGAUCUUGAAAAGGGAAUUUUACGAGACCCUUGACCAACAUAGUACAUGGCUCUUGGACAUUUUCAGAGCCAGAACGGGAGUUGCUGGUCAGCUUUUGAUAAACC